UGGGGAAUAUUGCACAAUGGGCGCAAGCCUGAUGCAGCCAUGCCGCGUGUGUGAAGAAGGCCUUCGGGUUGUAAAGCACUUUCAGCGAGGAGGAAGGUGGUGGACUUAAUACGUUCAUCAAUUGACGUUACUCGCAGAAGAAGCACCGGCUAACUCCGUGCCAGCAGCCGCGGUAAUACGGAGGGUGCAGGCGUUAAUCGGAAUUACUGGGCGUAAAGCGCACGCAGGCGGUUUGUUAAGUCAGAUGUGAAAUCCCCGGGCUCAACCUGGGAACUGCAUUUGAAACUGGCAAGCUAGAGUCUCGUAGAGGGGGGUAGAAUUCCAGGUGUAGCGGUGAAAUGCGUAGAGAUCUGGAGGAAUACCGGUGGCGAAGGCGGCCCCCUGGACGAAGACUGACGCUCAGGUGCGAAAGCGUGGGGAGCAAACAGGAUUAGAUACCCUGGUAGUCCACGCUGUAAAACGAUGUCGAUUUUGGAGGUUGUGCCCCUUGAGGCGUGGNUUCCGGAGCUAACGCGUUAAAUCGACCGCCUGGGGAGUACGGCCNCAAGGUU
rnacentral:rRNA from 1 species